CGCAAGCCUGACGGAGCAAGACCGCGUGCGGGAUGACGGCCUAAUGGUUGUAAACCGCUUUUCUCUGGGAAGAUGAUGACGGUACCAGAGGAAUCAGCCUCGGCUAACUCCGUGCCAGCAGCCGCGGUAAUACGGAGGAGGCAAGCGUUAUCCGGAAUUAUUGGGCGUAAAGCGUCCGUAGGUGGUUAUUCAAGUCUGCUGUCAAAGCGUGGGGCUUAACUCCAUAGAGGCAGUGGAAACUGGAUGACUUGAGUGCGGUAGGGGUCGAGGGAAUUCCCAGUGUAGCGGUGAAAUGCGUAGAUAUUGGGAAGAACACCAGUGGCGAAAGCGCUCGACUGGGCCUGCACUGACGCUGAGGGACGAAAGCUAGGGGAGCG
rnacentral:rRNA from 1 species